CCCUUAGAUGUCCUGGGCUGCACGCGCGCUACACUGAUGCGUUCAACGAGUGUAUCACCUUGCCCGAUAGGGUUGGGUAAUCUUUUGAACACGCAUCGUGAUGGGGAUAGAUUAUUGCAAUUAUUAAUCUUCAACGAGGAAUUCCUAGUAAUGAUGAAUCAUCAGUUCAUCGUGAUUACGUCCCUGCCCUUUGUACACACCGCCCGUCGCUACUACCGAUUGAAUGGUUUAGUGAGGACUCCUGAUUGGCGCCGCCGCCCCGGCAACGGAGCAGCGGACUGCCGAAAAGUUGUUCAAACUUGAUCAUUUAGAGGAAGUAAAAGUCGUAACA
rnacentral:rRNA from 1 species